UACGUAGGGUGCGAGCGUUGUCCGGAAUUACUGGGCGUAAAGAGCUCGUAGGUGGUUUGUCGCGUUGUUCGUGAAAACUCACAGCUCAACUGUGGGCGUGCGGGCGAUACGGGCAGACUGGAGUACUGCAGGGGAGACUGGAAUUCCUGGUGUAGCGGUGGAAUGCGCAGAUACCAGGAGGAACACCGGUGGCGAAGGCAGAUCUCUGGGCCGUAACUGACGCUGAGGAGCGAAAGCAUGGGGAGCGAACAGG
rnacentral:rRNA from 1 species